UACGUAGGCGGAAAAUUAAGUCUGUAGUGAAAUCCUGCAGCUUAACUGUAGAACUGUUAUUGAUACUGGUUUUCUUGAAUAUAGUUGAGGUAAGCGGAAUGUGUAAUGUAGCGGUGAAAUGCUUAGAUAUUACACAGAACACCGAUUGCGAAGGCAGCUUACUAAGCUAUGAUUGACGCUGAGGUACGAAAGCGUGGGGAGCGAACAGGGUUAGAUACCCUGGUAGUCC
rnacentral:rRNA from 1 species